UACGGGGGGGCAAGCGUUGUUCGGAAUUACUGGGCGUAAAGGGCUCGUAGGCGGCCAACUAAGUCGGACGUGAAAUCCCCAGGCUCAACCUGGGAACUGCAUCCGAUACUGGAUGGCUUGAAUUCGGGAGAGGGAUGCAGAAUUCCAGGUGUAGCGGUGAAAUGCGUAGAUAUCUGGAGGAAUACCGGUGGCGAAGGCGGCAUCCUGGACCGACAUUGACGCUAGGAGCGAAAGCCAGGGGAGCAAACGGGAUUAAGAUACCCUU
rnacentral:rRNA from 1 species